ensembl:lncRNA
GUUUUGUUGGAGAUCCCUGCAUCCCUGAGGUCUUCCAAAGAUUCAGCUGUGGAGAAGUGAGUGAACAGAUGUGUAUUGCUUCACUUCCUGAAAAGUUAAACCACAACACCAGGUCAUGAUCAAAUUCAUUCAGGAAGUUCUAGCUGAGUGGAGGUGAACACGUCAUUAGCUUCCAUUUAAAAGGAUGGCCUCAACUAAUGUGUAUCUUUGGUGUCUGCCUUCCAAGCCCAGGAGAACAUACAUCCAUGCUAUUUUAACAACGUGUGCUGCAUUGGGGUAUCGUUUCCCUGCAUGUGUCAUGGCUUUUGCAGAACCUGAGUUGGUUGAGGUAUGAACAUCAAUAUAAUCAGUUUUUAAAUAGAAGGAUCUCUUGACUUCAGGAUGCAGUAUCUUACUGGUUUGACAUUACAUUUCUUCCUUCAUCUGCAGAACAAGCACUUAGACAAAGAACAAAGGGCAUGCUAUAUUCUUCACCAAGUCAGCUGCCAGAUGUGAUAGUCUGCUGUCUGCUUACUGAAUGCCAACUUUCUCUCUGACAGCUAAACUCGUAUCACCUGCACUUUCUGCAGUGAAAUAGUUGUUUGCUUUCUGUUGUUUUUGUCAGGUUUUUUUUACUUCGUGAAAUGCAAAUGGGCAGUGUUGUACUUGUAGCAGUGAAUUAUUGGAGUUUUCUGUCAAAUUUAAUAAGAUUUACAAUUAGAAUCUUUUCCUUUUCUUGAACUUAAGUAAACAAACAAAGAGACAUUUCAAAG